AGGUCUGCGAAGGCGAGGGACUGCUGAAACCAGACUUCUCUGACUUCUUUAAUGCAGUUGGCGAUGGCAUUCCUGGCAAGAAUGAUUGAUAACCAUAUGUUACAACGCUGGUCAUUCUAUCGAAGCUCCUUUCAGGAGCUGGGAGCAAAAGCGAGCAAACUCGGGUUUAAUCACCCAGAAAAAUUUAAAUCUGAUUCUCCAGCUCUCGCUCUUAGAGGGAGCCAGACCAAAGACCCUGAUGGUGCU